GACCUAAACCAAGCGUUAGCUCGGCAUGGUCUCAAAUCUACAAGAAGGAACAGCUCGUCAUGAGUACUUCUUCUUGUAGUUAUUACUGGAAACGGUAGUAGGUAGCUUCGGCUAUC
rnacentral:sRNA from 12 species